rnacentral:tRNA from 1 species
GUUGGUCAAGUGGUUAAGACACCGCCCUUUCACGGCGGUAACACGGGUUCGAAUCCCGUACGGGUCACCA